rnacentral:rRNA from 1 species
GAUGAACGCUGGCGGCGUGCCUAAUACAUGCAAGUCGAGCGAACGGACGAGGAGCUUGCUCCUCUGAUGUUAGCGGCGGACGGGUGAGUAACACGUGGAUAACCUACCUAUAAGACUGGGAUAACUUCGGGAAACCGGAGCUAAUACCGGAUAAUAUAUUGAACCGCAUGGUUCAAUAGUGAAAGACGGUCUUGCUGUCACUUAUAGAUGGAUCCGCGCUGCAUUAGCUAGUUGGUAAGGUAACGGCUUACCAAGGCAACGAUGCAUAGCCGACCUGAGAGGGAGAUCGGCCACACUGGAACUGAGACACGGUCCAGACUCCUACGGGAGGCAGCAGUAGGGAAUCUUCCGCAAUGGGCGAAAGCCUGACGGAGCAACGCCGCGUGAGUGAUGAAGGUCUUCGGAUCGUAAAACUCUGUUAUUAGGGAAGAACAAAUGUGUAAGUAACUGUGCACAUCUUGACGGUACCUAAUCAGAAAGCCACGGCUAACUACGUG